rnacentral:rRNA from 1 species
UGCAAUACUGCAGUCGAACGCUUCUUUCCUCCCGAGUGCUUGCACUCAAUUGGAAAGAGGAGUGGCGGACGGGUGAGUAACACGUGGGUAACCUACCCAUCAGAGGGGGAUAACACUUGGAAACAGGUGCUAAUACCGCAUAACAGUUUAUGCCGCAUGGCAUAAGAGUGAAAGGCGCUUUCGGGUGUCGCUGAUGGAUGGACCCGCGGUGCAUUAGCUAGUUGGUGAGGUAACGGCUCACCAAGGCCACGAUGCAUAGCCGACCUGAGAGGGUGAUCGGCCACACUGGGACUGAGACACGGCCCAGACUCCUACGGGAGGCAGCAGUAGGGAAUCUUCGGCAAUGGACGAAAGUCUGACCGAGCAACGCCGCGUGAGUGAAGAAGGUUUUCGGAUCGUAAAACUCUGUUGUUAGAGAAGAACAAGGACGUUAGUAACUGAACGUCCCCUGACGGUAUCUAACCAGAAAGCCACGGCUAACUACGUGCCAGCAGCCGCGGUAAUACGUAGGUGGCAAGCGUUGUCCGGAUUUAUUGGGCGUAAAGCGAGCGCAGGCGGUUUCUUAAGUCUGAUGUGAAAGCCCCCGGCUCAACCGGGGAGGGUCAUUGGAAACUGGGAGACUUGAGUGCAGAAGAGGAGAGUGGAAUUCCAUGUGUAGCGGUGAAAUGCGUAGAUAUAUGGAGGAACACCAGUGGCGAAGGCGGCUCUCUGGUCUGUAACUGACGCUGAGGCUCGAAAGCGUGGGGAGCAAACAGGAUUAGAUACCCUGGUAGUCCACGCCGUAAACGAUGAGUGCUAAGUGUUGGAGGGUUUCCGCCCUUCAGUGCUGCAGCAAACGCAUUAAGCACUCCGCCUGGGGAGUACGACCGCAAGGUUGAAACUCAAAGGAAUUGACGGGGGCCCGCACAAGCGGUGGAGCAUG